AGUAACACUCUGGAAGGGCUCAAACCACAUAACCAAAUGUGCCAAGAUAAUCCUGAGAUCGCUCAUGUCAGUCCUGAAGAUUUUCCUCAGAGAAUUUUUCAUCUCUUUGUUCCUGAGACUAUAUAUUAGAGGAUUGCAGAGAGGUGUUAUCACAGAAUAGAAAAAGGCUUUUCUGAUCCAAGAUCUCGAGUUGUUCAAAUCCAUGCGGUGGGACCACACUCAAGAAAAAGUCCAGGGUAAGCUUUCCAUCUAGAAUGAUACCUUAACCACCAGUGAAACAGGCAAGGUCAAUUUUCAUUGAUUCAAAUUAUAUUCAAAGUGGAUUUUUAUCUGAGAUCUACAACUUAUGAAGAAUAUAAGUGAUAUAUAUAUAAGUGAUUAUAUGUGUAAUAUAUAUAAGUGAUAUAUAUUCUUUUCUACUCUUCAUGUAUGGAAUAAAAGGGCUUGCACAGUAGUAAGAAAAAAAUGGCUUAGGCCCACAGGAACAAAGAAACAGGACAGGAGUUAGAUGCAGAGAAGAGAUUUCAACAAAAGUUUGGAAAAGAUGCUAACGGUAGCAUAUGAGUCACAGACAGAAUAUUGGCACCUUUUUUUUAAGAAACUGAAUGUUAAUGUCACAUCUGCCUUUGGAGAUUACAAAUGAAAUGGCUACCUUUCUACUGGAACUCUGACCAGAAGCCUGCCAAUUAGUAAGCUGGCUUAAGAGAUCAAUCUAAAAUUUACAUAAGGCUUUUGAAAAAAAGAA
rnacentral:sRNA from 1 species